GACGAACGCUGGCGGCGCGCCUAACACAUGCAAGUCGAACGGUGAAGAGGAGCUUGCUCCUCGGAUCAGUGGCGGACGGGUGAGUAACACGUGAGCAACCUGGCUCUAAGAGGGGGACAACAGUUGGAAACGACUGCUAAUACCGCAUAACGUAUCGGGAUGGCAUCUUCCUGAUACCAAAGAUUUUAUCGCUUAGAGAUGGGCUCGCGUCUGAUUAGAUAGUUGGCGGGUAACGGCCACCAAGUCGACGAUCAGUAGCCGGACCUGACGAGGUUGAACGGCCGACAUUGGGACUGAGACA
rnacentral:rRNA from 1 species